rnacentral:tRNA from 1 species
UCCCUGGUGGCUCAGAUGGUAAAGCGUCUGCCUGCAAUGAGGGAGACCCAGGUUCGAUCCCUGGGUUGGGAA